rnacentral:rRNA from 1 species
AGGCUUUCGGGUGGUAAAACUCUGUUGUUAGGGAAGAACACGUGCUAGUUGAAUAAGCUGGCACCUUGACGGUACCUAACCAGAAAGCCACGGCUAACUACGUGCCAGCAGCCGCGGUAAU